UACGUAGGGGGCAAGCGUUGUCCGGAAUCAUUGGGCGUAAAGCGCGUGUAGGCGGCUCGGUAAGUCUGCUGUGAAAGUCCAGGGCUCAACCCUGGGAUGCCGGUGGAUACUGUCGAGCUCGAGUCCGGAAGAGGCGAGUGGAAUUCCUGGUGUAGCGGUGAAAUGCGUAGAUAUCAAGAGGAACACCUGCGGCGAAGGCGGGUUGCUGGGCCGACACUGACGCUGAGGCGCGAAAGCCAGGGGAGCGAACGGG
rnacentral:rRNA from 1 species